rnacentral:rRNA from 1 species
GAUGAACGCUGGCGGCGUGCCUAAUACAUGCAAGUCGAGCGAACAGACGAGGAGCUUGCUCCUCUGACGUUAGCGGCGGACGGGUGAGUAACACGUGGAUAACCUACCUAUAAGACUGGGAUAACUUCGGGAAACCGGAGCUAAUACCGGAUAAUAUAUUGAACCGCAUGGUUCAAUAGUGAAAGACGGCUUUGCUGUCACUUAUAGAUGGAUCCGCGCCGCAUUAGCUAGUUGGUCAGGUAACGGCUUACCAAGGCAACGAUCCGUAGCCGACCUGAGAGGGUGAUCGGCCACACUGGAACUGAGACACGGUCCAGACUCCUACGGGAGGCAGCAGUAGGGAAUCUUCCGCAAUGGGCGAAAGCUUGACGGAGCAACGCCGCGUGAGUGAUGAAGGUCUUCGGAUCGUAAAGCUCUGUUAUUAGGGAAGAACAAAUGUGUAAGUAACUAUGCACGUCUUGACGGUACCUAAUCAGAAAGCCACGGCUAACUACGUG